rnacentral:rRNA from 1 species
AUACUUGCAGUAAGAAAGUUCCUAAUACAUGCAAGGUCGAACGAACGGAUAAAGAGCUUGCUCUUUUGAAGUUAGUGGCGGACGGGUGAGUAACACGUGGGUAACCUGCCUCACAGCUGGGGAUAACAUCGAGAAAUCGAUGCUAAUACCGAAUGUGCUGAACAUCAUAAGAUGUUCAAGUGAAAGACGGUUUCGGCUGUCACUGUGAGAUGGACCCGCGCUGGAUUAGCUAGUUGGUAAGGUAAUGGCUUACCAAGGCGACGAUCCUAUGAGCCGACCCUGUGAAGAGGGGGUAGUAUCGGGCCAACAUUGGGAUCUGAAGACAACGGCCCAAACUCCUUACCGGGAGGCAGCAGUAAGGGAAUCUUCGGCAAUGGACGAAAGUUCUUGACCCGAGGCAACGCCGCGUGAAGCGAAAGAAGGCCUUCGGGGUCGUAAAGCUCUGUUGUUAGAAGAAGAACAUGGGUGAGAGUAACUGUUCACCCCUUUGACGGUAUCUAACCCAGAAAGCCACGGGCUAACUACGUGCCAGCAGCCGCGGUAAUACGUAGGUGGCAAGCGUUGUCCGGAAAUUAUUGGGCGUAAAAGCGCGCGCAGGCGGUCUCUUAAGUCUGAUGUGAAAGCCCCCGGCUCAACCGGGGAGGGUCAUUGGAAACUGGGAGACUUGAGGACAGAAGAGGAGAGUGGAAUUCCAAGUGUAGCGGUGAAAUGCGUAGAUAUUUGGAGGAACACCAGUGGCGAAGGCGGCUCUCUGGUCUGUUACUGACGCUGAGGCGCGAAAGCGUGGGGAGCAAACAGGAUUAGAUACCCUGGUAGUCCACGCCGUAAAACGAUGAGUGCUAAGUGUUUAGGGGGUUUCCGCCCCUUAGUGCUGCAGUUAACGCAUUAAGCACUCCGCCUGGGGAGUACGACCGCAAGGUUGAAACUCAAAGGAAUUGACGGGGGCCCGCACAAGCGGUGGAGCAUGUGGUUUAAUUCGAAGCAACGCGAAGAACCUUACCAGGUCUUGACAUCCUUUGACCAUUCUGGAGAACAGAACUUUCCYUUCGGGGACAAAGUGACAGGUGGUGCAUGGUUGUCGUCAGCCUCGUGUCGUGAGUAUGUUGGGUUAAGUCCUCGCCAACGAGCGCAACCCUUGAUUUUAGUUGCCAGCAUUUAGUUGGGCACUCUAAGGUGACUGCCGGAUGUAAGCCGGAGGAAGGUGGGGGGAUGACGUUCAAAUCAUCUACUGUCCCCCUUAUGACCUGGGCUACACACGUGCUACAAUGGAUAAUACAAAGGGUCGCGAAGCCGCGAGGUGGAGCCAAUCCCAUAAAAUUAUUCUCAGUUCGGAUUGCAGGCUGCAACUCGCCUGCAUGAAGCCGGAAUCGCUAGUAAUCGUAGAUCAGCAUGCUACGGUGAAUACGUUCCCGGGCCUUGUACACACCGCCCGUCACACCACGAGAGUUUGUAACACCCAAAGCCGGUUUGGUAACCUUCGGGAGCUAGCCGUCUAAGGGUGGAAAAAAUAA